AUUGAACGCUGGCGGCAGGCCUAACACAUGCAAGUCGAACGAGUGGCGGACGGGUGAUUAAUGUCUGGGAACCUGCCCGAUGGAGGGGGAUAACUACUGGAAACGGUCGCUAAUACCGCAUACCCUCGGAUGUGCCCAGAUGGGAUUAGCUAGUAGGUGGGGGAAAGGCUCACCUAGGCGACGAUCCCUAGCUGGUCUGAGAGGAUGACCAGCCAGACUGGAACUGAGAAACGGGCCAGACUCCUACGGGAGGCAGAAGUGGGGAAUAUUGCACAAUGGGCGCAAGCCUGAUGCAGCCAUGCCGCGUGUAUGAAGAAGGCCUUCGGGUUGUAAAGUACUUUCAGCGGGGAGGCGUUACCCGAAGAAGAAGCACCGGCUAACUCCGUGCCAGCAGCCGCGGUAAUAC
rnacentral:rRNA from 1 species